AGAGUUUGAUCCUGGCUCAGGAUGAACGCUAGCUACAGGCUUAACACAUGCAAGUCGAGGGGCAGCAUGGUCUUAGCUUGCUAAGGCCGAUGGCGACCGGCGCACGGGUGAGUAACGCGUAUCCAACCUGCCUUACACUCUUGGACAGCCUUCUGAAAGGGAGAUUAAUACAAGAUGUUAUCAUGAGUAAGCAUUUUCGCAUGAUUAAAGGUUUACCGGUGUAAGAUGGGGAUGCGUUCCAUUAGAUAGUAGGCGGGGUAACGGCCCACCUAGUCUUCGAUGGAUAGGGGUUCUGAGAGGAAGGUCCCCCACAUUGGAACUGAGACACGGUCCAAACUCCUACGGGAGGCAGCAGUGAGGAAUAUUGGUCAAUGGACGAGAGUCUGAACCAGCCAAGUAGCGUGAAGGAUGAAGGUUCUAUGGAUUGUAAACUUCUUUUAUACGGGAAUAAACGGAUCCACGUGUGGAUUUUUGCAUGUACCGUAUGAAUAAGGAUCGGCUAACUCCGUGCCAGCAGCCGCGGUAAUACGGAGGAUCCGAGCGUUAUCCGGAUUUAUUGGGUUUAAAGGGAGCGUAGAUGGGUUGUUAAGUCAGUUGUGAAAGUUUGCGGCUCAACCGUAAAAUUGCAAUUGAUACUGGCAGUCUUGAGUACAGUUGAGGUAGGCGGAAUUCGUGGUGUAGCGGUGAAAUGCUUAGAUAUCACGAAGAACUCCGAUUGCGAAGGCAGCUUACUAACCUGUAACUGACAUUGAUGCUCGAAAGUGUGGGUAUCAAACAGGAUUAGAUACCCUGGUAGUCCACACGGUAAACGAUGAAUACUCGCUGUAGGCGAUAUACAGUCUGCGGCCAAGCGAAAGCAUUAAGUAUUCCACCUGGGGAGUACGCCGGCAACGGUGAAACUCAAAGGAAUUGACGGGGGCCCGCACAAGCGGAGGAACAUGUGGUUUAAUUCGAUGAUACGCGAGGAACCUUACCCGGGCUUAAAUUGCAACCGAAUAUGGCGGAAACGCUAUAGCUAGCAAUAGCGGUUGUGAAGGUGCUGCAUGGUUGUCGUCAGCUCGUGCCGUGAGGUGUCGGCUUAAGUGCCAUAACGAGCGCAACCCUUGCCGAUAGUUACUAACAGGUUAUGCUGAGGACUCUGUCGGGACUGCCAUCGUAAGAUGUGAGGAAGGUGGGGAUGACGUCAAAUCAGCACGGCCCUUACGUCCGGGGCUACACACGUGUUACAAUGGGGGGUACAGAGGGCUGCUACCACGCAAGUGGAUGCCAAUCCCAAAAACCUCUCUCAGUUCGGAUUGAAGUCUGCAACCCGACUUCAUGAAGCUGGAUUCGCUAGUAAUCGCGCAUCAGCCACGGCGCGGUGAAUACGUUCCCGGGCCUUGCACUCACCGCCCGUCAAG
rnacentral:rRNA from 1 species